UCAAUCGUGCUGUGAUGAAAC
rnacentral:siRNA from 1 species